GAGCUCACUGCGCAGUGACGCGGAAACGUACACGCAACCGCCAGCGGCACAGACCGGCGCGAGAGGUGCCGCUGCUGCUGCUGCUGCUGCCGCCGCCGCCGCUGGUAGUCGUGGCGGUGGUUCCAUCGACACCUCUCCAGCGCAGCGCUCUCUCGCUCCUGUCGCGGCGCUCUUCCUGUUUGCCACUUUAGCGGAAAUGAACAGCGCCACGCCCGGUGCCCGCGUCCUCGCUGCGAUCGCGCCUCUAUCGUAUCUACGCCGUCGGCGCACAGCUGCAUCGUCGUCUCCGCCGUUUUCAUUGUCGCCGCGGCACGCGGCGUGCGCCUCCGCGACGGCUCGUCGCCCUUUCACCUCCUCGCUUCUCAGCAAACUCGGAGACUCUGUUGCCUUUAAGGUGUCGCAGCUCGCCGAGAACGUCUGGCUAGCCGAUGAAAAACUCGUUACGGAGCCGCGGCGAAAGUUCGAGCCGCAGCGCGUCGCCAACACAAGUCUGGCAGAGCGCCUCGCGGCGCAACGAAAUGUGCGGCAGCGUCUCGUGCCGACGAGGGUCCAGGUUGACAAGUCGCGUCAGUACGUUGAGUUCACGUGGCCUGAGGACGCGAUCGAAGUGAUGCGCUGCGUCUCUCUCGAGGCGGAUCCGUCUGACCCGACAGAACCGCCUAGGACUUCAUCUGGCAGAUCUUCGUCAAGGCCUGCUACUGCACCUGCUGCCCGCUCCUCGUCUGCAGGGCCGGCAGCCUCGUCGCAUGCGCCGGAAAGAGCCGCGGCUUCUGCUCAUCGCGCGCCAGCUGGAGAACUGACGAGGGCGUCUUGGCCGGCUCUCCACUCGCCUUGCGUCCCUUCCGGCGCCCCGCUGCGGACGCGCGCGCUGGCCGAGUACCUGCGCGCCUACACCCCUAGCACCGACGGCGCACUCGGCGGCAAGGAUAUCAUCAUCUACGGCCGCCGCGGCAUCACGAUCACGAAGGUCAUUCCCGUUGGCAGCUACGCCCUGCGCUUUGUCUUUUCCGACGGUCACAGUGGCGGCCUCUACAGCUAUGCGUACCUUUACUAUCUCACGAGCCCCAGCACGAAGUACGGCCUCAUGCGCGGCUACAUCACGGAGCUGCGGCUGCGCCGCCGGUCGCGCGACCCGCCAAAGCGCGCCCCCUCCAUCAAGUACGCCGCGAUGAUCGCGCACAGUGCGGCGACAGCGCCAAGGCACUAGACUACUGGGCACGCGUUGGUCGACUACCCCACCGUCUCGCCCACGUCGCCGGCGCAUGCUUGUCUGUGUGUGUCUCCUCGCCGCACGCUCUCUUGCCAUGUCUGCGGUUGCUUCGAGUGCCUCCCCGUCUCUGUGUCUCCUUGCUUGGGGCCCCUCCUAAUAAUGACGAGGGGGGGGAAGCACGCAGACACCCACCGCUCAGUGCGUGGCAUCAGAGGGUCCGGCCCCACCGCACCCCCCCUCUCCUCCACUCCCGACUCUCUGCGUGUGUGAGGGAGGAAGCCCAGCAGCCCCCACCUCACCCUCCCCAAUGCCGAGCCACUCCUGGUGGUGGUGGCAGGGCCCGGUGCCCGCGACGCAGCGAGGUCAGAGCAAUUCAGCGCUACUGAUGUUGUCGGUCAAGGCCCUGCGUGGCGCUGCGUCGACGCCACCUGCGCAGCGGGCAGAGUGCGAGGCAGGGGCCGUGCUCUCAGGGGACUGCAUCGGCGCCUUGCUGGACCGGCGUGUGUCGACGGCUGCCAUGGUCCCACGCGAGGUGGCGCCUGUGUGAUAGAGUCAGAAACGGUGCAGUAUAGCGGAUGCCAUGUGGCAGCGAAAUGGACGCGCCUUGAAAAAAAUACGAAAGAGACACGCAGCCAGGGGAGCGUGGGCACGUGGCAC
rnacentral:misc_RNA from 1 species